rnacentral:rRNA from 1 species
AUUGAACGCUGGCGGCAGGCCUAACACAUGCAAGUCGAACGAGUGGCGGACGGGUGAGUAAUGUCUGGGAAACUGCCCGAUGGAGGGGGAUAACUACUGGAAACAGUAGCUAAUACCGCAUACCAUCGGAUGAGCCCAGAUGGGAUUAGCUAGUAGGUGGGGUAACGGCUCACCUAGGCGACGAUCCCUAGCUGGUCUGAGAGGAUGACCAGCCACACUGGAACUGAGACACCGUCCAGGCUCCUACGGGAGGCAGCAGUGGGGAAUUUUGCACAAUUGGCGCAAGCCUGAUACAGCCAUGCCCCGUGUUUGAAGCAAGCCUUCGGGUUGUAAAAUUCUUUCAGCGAGGAGGCGUUACUCCCACAAGAAGCCCCGGCUAACUCCGUGCCAGCCGCCGCGGUAAUAC